rnacentral:rRNA from 1 species
GAUGAACGCUGGCGGCGUGCCUAACACAUGCAAGUCGAGCGAAGCGGGGACGGGGGAGUAACAUGUGGUGAACCCCCUAUAAGAAUGGGGUAAAUUACGGAAACCGGUACCAAUCCGGAAACUUGUGGAUGAUUCCGGGCUGCAUUAGCUAGUUGGUAAGGUAACGGAUUACCAAGGCCACGAUGCAUAGCCGACCGGGGCGGGGGAUCGGCCACACUGGAACUGAGACACGGUCCAGACUCCUACGGGAGGCAGCAGUAGGGAAUCUUCCGCAAUGGGCGAAAGCCUGACGGAGCAACGCCGCGUGGGUGAUGAAGGUCUUCGGAUCGUAAAACUCUGUUAUUAGGGAAGCGGUACCUAAUCAGGAAGCCACGGCUAACUACGUGCCAGCCGCCGCGGUAAUAC